rnacentral:rRNA from 1 species
UACGUAGGGGGCAAGCGUUGUCCGGAAUCAUUGGGCGUAAAGAGCGUGUAGGCGGCCCGAUAAGUCCGCUGUGAAAGUCCAGGGCUCAACCCUGGGAUGCCGGUGGAUACUGUAGGGCUCGAGUCCGGAAGAGGAGUGUGGAAUUCCUGGUGGAGCGGUGAAAUGCGCAGAUAUCAGGAGGAACACCCGUAGCGAAGGCGGCACUCUGGGCCGAUACUGACACUGAGGAGCGAAAGCGUGGGGAGCGAACAGG